AUUGAACGCUGGCGGCAUGCCUUACACAUGCAAGUCGAACGGCAGCACGGGUGCUUGCACCUGGUGGCGAGUGGCGAACGGGUGAGUAAUACAUCGGAACGUACCUUAUCGUGGGGGAUAACGCAGCGAAAGCUGUGCUAAUACCGCAUACGCCCUGAGGGGGAAAGCGGGGGAUCGCAAGACCUAGCGCGAUUAGAGCGGCCGAUGCCUGAUUAGCUUGUUGGUGGGGUAAAAGCCCACCAAGGCGACGAUCAGUAGCUGGUCUGAGAGGACGAUCAGCCACUCUGGGACUGAGACGGCCCAGACUCCUACGGGAGGCAGCAGUGGGGAAUUUUGGACAAUGGGGCAACCCUGAUCCAGCAAUGCCGCGUGAGUGAAGAAGGCCUUCGGGUUGUAAAGCUCUUUUGUCAGGGAAGAAACACCGGCUCUAACACAGUCCGGGAAUGACGGUACCUGAAGAAUAAGCACCGGCUAACUACGUGCCAGCAGCCGCGGUAA
rnacentral:rRNA from 1 species